CAUGCAAGUCGAGCGGAUGAGAGGAGCUUGCUCCUUGAUUUAGCGGCGGACGGGUGAGUAAUGCCUAGGAAUCUGCCUGGUAGUGGGGGAUAACGUUCCGAAAGGAACGCUAAUACCGCAUACGUCCUACGGGAGAAAGCAGGGGACCUUCGGGCCUUGCGCUAUCAGAUGAGCCUAGGUCGGAUUAGCUAGUUGGUGAGGUAAUGGCUCACCAAGGCGACGAUCCGUAACUGGUCUGAGAGGAUGAUCAGUCACACUGGAACUGAGACACGGUCCAGACUCCUACGGGAGGCAGCAGUGGGGAAUAUUGGACAAUGGGCGAAAGCCUGAUCCAGCCAUGCCGCGUGUGUGAAGAAGGUCUUCGGAUUGUAAAGCACUUUAAGUUGGGAGGAAGGGCAUUAACCUAAUACGUUAGUGUUUUGACGUUACCGACAGAAUAAGCACCGGCUAACUUCGUGCCAGCAGCCGCGGUAAUACGAAGGGUGCAAGCGUUAAUCGGAAUUACUGGGCGUAAAGCGCGCGUAGGUGGUUCGUUAAGUUGGAUGUGAAAGCCCCGGGCUCAACCUGGGAACUGCAUCCAAAACUGGCGAGCUAGAGUACGGUAGAGGGUGGUGGAAUUUCCUGUGUAGCGGUGAAAUGCGUAGAUAUAGGAAGGAACACCAGUGGCGAAGGCGACCACCUGGACUGAUACUGACACUGAGGUGCGAAAGCGUGGGGAGCAAACAGGAUUAGAUACCCUGGUAGUCCACGCCGUAAACGAUGUCAACUAGCCGUUGGGUUCCUUGAGAACUUAGUGGCGCAGCUAACG
rnacentral:rRNA from 1 species